AACGAACGCUGGCGGCGUGCCUAAUACAUGCAAGUCGAGCGAAUCUUUUGGGAGCUUGCUCCCAAAAGAUUAGCGGCGGACGGGUGAGUAACACGUGGGCAACCUGCCUAUAAGACUGGGAUAACUUCGGGAAACCGGAGCUAAUACCGGAUACGUUCUUUUCUCGCAUGAGAGAAGAUGGAAAGACGGUCUCGGCUGUCACUUAUAGAUGGGCCCGCGGCGCAUUAGCUAGUUGGUGAGGUAAUGGCUCACCAAGGCGACGAUGCGUAGCCGACCUGGGAGGGUGAUCGGCCACACUGGGACUGAGACACGGCCCAGACUCCUACGGGAGGCAGCAGUAGGGAAUCUUCCGCAAUGGACGAAAGUCUGACGGAGCAACGCCGCGUGAACGAAGAAGGCCUUCGGGUCGUAAAGUUCUGUUGUUAGGGAAGAACAAGUACCAGAGUAACUGCUGGUACCUUGACGGUACCUAACCAGAAAGCCACGGCUAACUACGUGCCAGCCGCCGCAGUAACAC
rnacentral:rRNA from 1 species